ensembl:miRNA
CGGCUGGAAGUGUGAGGAUCUAACCCGGGGGUGAGAGGGUGGAGGCGGCUCUUGUGAUCCAAAGGGACUUGAGACUCACCAGCCACAAGCUGUGAAGGCCCUGUGGGUGCUGGGCCUCUGCUGCGUCCUGC